rfam:Ictidomys tridecemlineatus contig061164, whole genome shotgun sequence.
GAGGAGGUAGCUCAGUGGUAGAGCACUUGCCUAGGGUGCAUGAGGCCCUGGGUUUGAUCCCAAGUCUCUCUCA